rnacentral:rRNA from 1 species
UACAGAGGUCCCAAGCGUUGUUCGGAUUCAUUGGGCGUAAAGGGUGCGUAGGUGGCGCCGUAAGUCGGGUGUGAAAUUUCGGAGCUUAACUCCGAAACUGCAUUCGAUACUGCGGUGCUUGAGGACUGGAGAGGAGACUGGAAUUCCUGGUGUAGCGGUGGAAUGCGCAGAUAUCAGGAGGAACACCGGUGGCGAAGGCGGGUCUCUGGGCAGUAACUGACGCUGAGGAGCGAAAGCGUGGGGAGCGAACAGG